rnacentral:rRNA from 1 species
GCGGCGUGCUUAACACAUGCAAGUCGAACGAUGAAGCCUAGCUUGCUAGGUGGAUUAGUGGCGCACGGGUGAGUAAUAUAUAGAUAACGUACCUCUUAGUCUGGGAUAGCCAUUGGAAACGAUGAUUAAUACUAGAUACUCCUUCUAACUCUAAUGUUAGUCGGGAAAGUUUUUCGCUAAGAGAUCGGUCUAUAUCCCAUCAGCUAGUUGGUAGUGUAAGAGACUACCAAGGCAAUGACGGGUAGCGGGUUUGAGAGGAUGAUCCGCCACACUGGUACUGAGACACGGACCAGACUCCUACGGGAGGCAGCAGUGAGGAAUAUUGCACAAUGAAGGAAACUCUGAUGCAGCAACGCCGCGUGGAGGAUGACGCAUUUCGGUGUGUAAACUCCUUUUAUAUGUCAAGAAAAUGACGGUAGCAUAUGAAUAAGCACCGGCUAACUCCGUGCCAGCAGCCGCGGUAAUACGGAGGGUGCAAGCGUUAUUCGGAAUCACUGGGCGUAAAGGACACGUAGGCGGGAAGCCAAGUCUGAUGUGAAAUCCUAUGGCUCAACCAUAGAACUGCAUUGGAAACUGGUUACCUAGAGUAUGGGAGGGGGAGAUGGAAUUAGUGGUGUAGGGGUAAAAUCCGUAGAUAUCACUAGGAAUACCUAAAGCGAAGGCGAUCUCCUGGAACAAUACUGACGCUAAGGUGUGAAAGCGUGGGGAGCAAACGGGAUUAGAUACCCCGGUAGUCCACGCCCUAAACGAUGUUCACUAGUCGUCGGGAUGCUAGUCAUCUCGGUGAUGCACUUAACAGAUUAAGUGAACCGCCUGGGGAGUACGGUCGCAAGAUUAAAACUCAAAGGAAUAGACGGGGACCCGCACAAGUGGUGGAGCAUGUGGUUUAAUUCGAAGAUACGCGAAGAACCUUACCUAGCCUUGACAUUGAUUGAACGAACCAGAGAUGGAUCGGUGCCCUUCGGGGAACAUGAAAACAGGUGCUGCACGGCUGUCGUCAGCUCGUGUCGUGAGAUGUUGGGUUAAGUCC